UACGUAGGGGGCUAGCGAUAUCCGGAUUUACUGGGCGUAAAGGGUGCGUAGGUGGUUUUUGAAGUCAGGAGUGAAAGGCUACGGCUCAACCGUAGUAAGCUCUUGAAACUGGAAAACUUGAGUGCAGGAGAGGAAAGUGGAAUUCCUAGUGUAGCGGUGAAAUGCGUAGAUAUUAGGAGGAACACCAGUAGCGAAGGCGGCUUUCUGGACUGUAACUGACACUGAGGCACGAAAGCGUGGGGAGCAAACAGG
rnacentral:rRNA from 1 species